AUUGAACGCUGGCGGCAGGCCUAACACAUGCAAGUCGAACGGUAGCACAGAGAGCUUGCUCUCGGGUGACGAGUGGCGGACGGGUGAGUAAUGUCUGGGAAACUGCCCGAUGGAGGGGGAUAACUACUGGAAACGGUAGCUAAUACCGCAUAAUGUCGCAAGACCAAAGAGGGGGACCUUCGGGCCUCUUGCCAUCGGAUGUGCCCAGAUGGGAUUAGCUUGUUGGUGAGGUAAUGGCUCACCAAGGCGACGAUCCCUAGCUGGUCUGAGAGGAUGACCAGCCACACUGGAACUGAGACACGGUCCAGACUCCUACGGGAGGCAGCAGUGGGGAAUAUUGCACAAUGGGCGCAAGCCUGAUGCAGCCAUGCCGCGUGUGUGAAGAAGGCCUUCGGGUUGUAAAGCACUUUCAGCGGGGAGGAAGGCGAUACGGUUAAUAACCGUGUUGAUUGACGUUACCCGCAGAAGAAGCACCGGCUAACUCCGU
rnacentral:rRNA from 1 species